AUGCUGUGUGUGGUACUCUACUGCAGAGGGUGGCAAUCAUAUAUAAUAAAAAAAUGAUUGUCAUCUCUGUAAGUGCAGUAACAUAUGACACAUGCGA
ensembl:miRNA